UACGUAGGGGGCUAGCGUUAUCCGGAAUUACUGGGCGUAAAGGGUGCGUAGGUGGUUUCUUAAGUCAGAGGUGAAAGGCUACGGCUCAACCGUAGUAAGCCUUUGAAACUGGGAAACUUGAGUGCAGGAGAGGAGAGUGGAAUUCCUAGUGUAGCGGUGAAAUGCGUAGAUAUUAGGAGGAACACCAGUUGCGAAGGCGGCUCUCUAGUCUGUAUCUGACGCUGAGGUGCAAAAGCGUGGGUAGCAAACAGGGAUUAGAUACCCCGGUAGUCCCUGAG
rnacentral:rRNA from 1 species